rnacentral:rRNA from 1 species
GUCGCAGAAGAAGCACCGGCUAACUCCGUGCCAGCAGCCGCGGUAAUACGGAGGGUGCGAGCGUUAAUCGGAAUUACUGGGCGUAAAGCGCAUGCAGGUGGUUUGUUAAGUCAGAUGUGAAAGACCCGGGGCGUCAACCUCGGAAUUAGCAUUUGUAAACUAGGCAAACUAGAGUACUGUAGAGGGGGGUAGGAAUUUCAGGUGUAGCGGUGAAAUGCGUAGAGAUCUGAAGGAAUACCGGUGGCGAAGGCGGCCCCCUCGGACAGAUACUGACACUCAGAUGCGAAAGCGUGGGGAGCAAACAGGAUUAGAUACCCUGGUAG